CCUACGGGUGGCAGCAGUGGGGAAUAUUGCACAAUGGGGGAAACCCUGAUGCAGCGACGCCGCGUGAGUGAAGAAGUAAUUCUGUAUGUAAAGCUCUAUCAGCAGGGAAGAAAAUGACGGUACCUGAGUAAGAAGCCCCGGCUAACUCCGUGCCAGCAGCCGCGGUAAUACGGAGGGUGCGAGCGUUAACCGGAGUUACUGGGCGUAAAGUGAUCGUAGGCGGUAUGUCAAGUCUAGGGUGAAAUCCCCGCGCUCAACGUGGGAACUGCCUUUGAAACUGGCAAACUAGAGUGUGUGAGAGGUAAGUGGAAUUCCAGGUGUAGCGGUGAAAUCCGUAGAUAUCUGGAGGAACAUCAGUGGCGAAGGCGACUAACUGGAACGUAACUGACGCUGAGGAGCGAAAGCGUGGGUAGCAAACAGGAUUAGAUACCCUUGUAGUC
rnacentral:rRNA from 1 species